rnacentral:piRNA from 1 species
AGGUGAGCGCUUUGCGCAGUGAUGAC